UGUUGUAUAUUGCUUUUUACAUGUGUAACAGGUUGAUGUGGUUGAGCCAUAUAAAUCUCAUCAAAACAUUCAUUUUCUUAUUGUUCUUAUUUUGGUUUCCUUGUCCUCCUACCUGCAUAUCGACGUGAUUACACACUUACCCUUCAAACUUUUGCUAUAAUUAACCAUCAAAUUGCUCAGUUUUUCUUUCACUGUUUCUUUUUAAACUUGUGGUAUUAAGAACAGAAACACAAGCUGAUUGAUUCAUAAACAGAGUUUGGUGUCAUAAAGAAAUGUGUCAUUUUACAGUUUUUAUUCUACAUUUUUUUGGGAAACAACGAGCAUUAUGAGGCAUGUGCUCAGUCAAAAUUAACUGCCAGUAAAGAGCAAGAACCCACCUGCUGUUAUCUGAGUCAUCAUUAACAUCGGAACACAACGCAGGGACAUCACAGACCGGUUACACAUGGUCCUCUCCGUGGGUCAGCAGGACAAAUGUGAUUUCUCUGAUCUUCAUGCCAAGCAUGUUCUCCAGCUUCUCUAAUAUCCCUUCCUCUUGAUCAGUGAACCGGCUGAGCUGUAUCACAAGUAACACCAAGCAGCGCCCGUGUGUACAAUACCUCUUACACUCUUCUACCUGGGCCUGGUGGUUUUGGAGCCCGUCAUGAAAGAAAUCAGGCGUGUCGACCACUCUCACCUCCCCCCCAAAUAACCUGAUUAUUUUGGCCUCACAUUUGGUGGUGACCGGCAUGGAACUGAACCCAGAUCUGAAAUGCAGACUUGAAUCCUUUUGAGGGGUCCCUGCAGCCAGGAUGGUGUUUGCAGACGCACUCUUUCCAGUUCUAGUCAGUCCAAGCAGAAUGAUGUUAAAUGUGUCGUCGUAAGCACAGUGGACACCGUUACCUGGAGGAUACAGUUUUUAAAAUAUUUGAAUGAAUAAUGAGAAGCUUGGAUAUUGGUACUUCAUUUGCAACAACUUUAUAAUAAAACAUGCUCAAAUCUCCAGAAGCUUA